rnacentral:rRNA from 1 species
UACGAGGGGGCAAGCGUUGUUCGGAAUUAUUGGGCGUAAAGGGCGCGUAGGCGGUGCGGUAAGUCACCUGUGAACCUCUAGGCUCAACCUAGAGCCUGCAGGCGAAACUGCCGUGCUUGAGGGUGGGAGAGGUGCGUGGAAUUCCCGGUGUAGCGGUGAAAUGCGUAGAUAGUCGGGAGGAACACCGAUGGCGAAGGCAAUCCCCUGGGCCUGCACCUGACGCU